UACGUAGGCAGCGAGCGUUGUUCGGAAUUACUGGGCGUAAAGAGUGUGUAGGCGGUGCUCCAAGUCUGUUGUGAAAUCUCCCGGCUUAACUGGGAGGGUGCAGCGGAUACUAGAGUGCUAGAGGGUGGGAGAGGAAAGCGGAAUUCCUGGUGUAGCGGUGAAAUGCGUAGAUAUCGGGAGGAACACCUGUGGCGAAAGCGGCGCACUGGACCACAUCUGACGCUGAGGCGCGAAAGCUAGGGGAGCAAACAGG
rnacentral:rRNA from 1 species